rnacentral:lncRNA from 1 species
AUGGCUUCCAGUCAGUCGCAGCUCGGAAAGCCAGCCCCUGACUUCAAGGCCAUUGCCCUGGUGGAUGGCGCCUUCCAGGAGGUGAAGCUGUGGGCUACAAAGGGAAGUACGUCGUCCUCUUUUUCUACCCUCUGGACUUCACUUUUCUGUGGCCCAUGGAGAACGUCGCAUUCAGCGACCAUGCCGAGGAUUUCCGCAAGCUGGGCUGCGAAGUGCUGGGUGUCUGGGUGGACUUAGUUCACCCACCUGGCUUGGAUCAACAACCCCCAGAAGUAGGGAGGCUUAGGCCCCCGAGCAUCCCCCACCCGCUGAUGUGACGGGAAGCUUGUCUGAAGAUUACUGUGUGCUGAAAACCAAUGAGGGCAUUGCCUACCCUGCCUCUUUAUCAUCGAUGGCAAGGGUGACUUUUGCCAGAUCACUGUUAAUGAUUUGCCUCUGGGGUGCUCCAUGGAUGAGGCUCUGCAGCUGGUCCAGGCAUUCCAGUACGCAGAUGAGCACGGGAAAGUUUGUCCCACUGGCUGGAAGCCUGGUAGCGACAAUGAAGCCCAAUGUGGAUGACAAGGAAUACUUCUUCAAACACAACUAG